rnacentral:piRNA from 1 species
UGACAAUGCCAGCCGUGGGCAAGGAAGGA